UACGGAGGGUGCAAGCGUUAAUCGGAAUUACUGGGCGUAAAGCGUGCGCAGGCGGUUUUGUAAGACAGGUGUGAAAUCCCCGGGCUUAACCUGGGAACUGCAUUUGUGACUGCACGGCUAGAGUGUGUCAGAGGGGGGUAGAAUUCCACGUGUAGCAGUGAAAUGCGUAGAUAUGUGGAGGAAUACCGAUGGCGAAGGCAGCCCCCUGGGAUAACACUGACGCUCAUGCACGAAAGCGUGGGGAGCAAACAGG
rnacentral:rRNA from 1 species